GCGAUUGUAGCUCAGUUGGUUAGAGUCCCGCAGUACUGCGGGAUGGUCCCGAGGGUCGCGGGUUCGAUUCCCGUCAGUCGCC
rnacentral:tRNA from 1 species